rnacentral:rRNA from 1 species
CCUUAUUUAAUUGGUAGGAGAGCGUUCUUAUCAGCGAUGAAGGUAUACCGUGAGGAGUGCUGGAGCGAUAAGAAGUGAGAAUGCCGGUAUGAGUAGCGCAAGACAGGUGAGAAUCCUGUCCACCGUAAGACUAAGGUUUCCAGGGGAAGGCUCGUCCGCCCUGGGUUAGUCGGGACCUAAGGAGAGGCCGAAUGGCGUAUCCGAUGGACAACAGGUUGAUAUUCCUGUACUAGGUUAUAUAGUGAUUGGAGGGACGCAGUAGGCUAAGGUAAGCCAGUUAAUGGAUUCUGGUCUAAGCAGUGAGGUUUGGUAUGAGUCAAAUGCUUGUACCUAUAAGAUUGAGCUGUGAUGGGGAAGCACUUUCGAGUGCGAAGUACCUGAUGUCACACUGCCAAGAAAAUCUUCUAGCGUUUAAUUAUAACCUACCCGUACCGCAAACCGACACAGGUAGUCGAGGCGAGUAGCCUCAGGUGAGCGAGAGAACUCUCGUUAAGGAACUCGGCAAAAUGACCCCGUAACUUCGGGAGAAGGGGUGCUCUACAUUUGUAGAGCCGCAGUGAAUAGGCCCAAGCGACUGUUUAUCAAAAACACAGCUCUCUGCUAAAUCGUAAGAUGAUGUAUAGGGGGUGACGCCUGCCCGGUGCUGGAAGGUUAAGAGGAGUGCUUAGCGUAAGCGAAGGUAUGAAUUGAAGCCCCAGUAAACGGCGGCCGUAACAAUAACGGUCCUAAGGUAGCGAAAUUCCUUGUCGGGUAAGUUCCGACCCGCACGAAAGGCGUAACGAUUUGGGCACUGUCUCAACGAGAGACUCGGUGAAAUUUUAGUACCUGUGAAGAUGCAGGUUACCCGCGACAGGACGGAAAGACCCCAUGGAGCUUUACUGCAAGUUGAUAUUGAGUAUCUGUUGCACAUGUACAGGAUAGGUAGGAGCCAUUGAUCUGAGGACGCUAGUUUUCAGUGAGGCGAUGUUGGGAUACUACCCUUGUGUCAUGGCUACUCUAACCCGCAUGCCUAAUCGGCAGGGAGACAGUGUCUGCUGGGCAGUUUGACUGGGGCGGUCGCCUCCUAAAGAGUAACGGAGGCGCUCAAAGUUUCCCUCAGCAUGGUUGGAAAUCAUGCGUAGAGUGUAAAGGUAUAAGGGAGAUUGACUGCGAGACUUACAAGACGAGCAGGUACGAAAGUAGGACUUAGUGAUCCGGUGGUACCGCAUGGAAGGGCCAUCGCUCAACGGAUAAAAGCUACCCUGGGGAUAACAGGCUUAUCUCCCCCAAGAGUUCACAUCGACGGGGAGGUUUGGCACCUCGAUGUCGGCUCGUCGCAUCCUGGGGCUGUAGUCGGUCCCAAGGGUUGGGCUGUUCGCCCAUUAAAGCGGCACGCGAGCUGGGUUCAGAACGUCGUGAGACAGUUCGGUCCCUAUCCGUCGCGGGCGUAGGAAAUUUGAGAGGAUCUGCCCUUAGUACG